GUCGCGUUCAACCGAAGUCAUCCUCUUCUCUUUUGGUUUUAUUUUAUUUCAGAAUGCGCGGAGAUCUGCUGAAAUAUCGAAAAAUGUCCAUUUCUCGUCUUCUUUGGAGCGACCGAGGGAAACUUCAUGGUGAAAUACAGCGUCACACCAUCGUGAUAACGUACACGUUCAUGACAAAUGACCGGUGCAGAUGAGAUAGUUUCGUGUAGAUCAGCCAGUGUAUCUACAGAGGAUGUCAGAUUGCUCAAAUUCCCGUGAAAUAAGGUGCAGCACUCGGAAUCUGGAUGGUAUGCACACGAUUUGAAGACGAUAUGUUUGUAGUUACCUCAAGCAGCCCUCCACAAAGGCUGGUCAAUUUUUUUAAAAGAUGACAACCAGAGAUUCAUGAUGUUGCAGAAUUUCUUGGAGGAGAUUUGAAGACCAAAAACCAUCACAUUCUGAUAGUUUACAAAAAGAUAAAUCUACACUCCGUCACGGUCGAAAGAGUUCCACACCAACUUCACCCACUGGAUCAAACAGAGUGUACAAGUACAGUAUUACAUACAUUUAUUUAAUAACACGCUGAAAUUCUAAAUUUGGGGACGGAAGGUCUGUCAAAUAAAUGCAAUUUGGUCAAACCACUAGUUGAUUGUUGAUUUUCCUUUUAUGCAAUUAAUGCUGCUUUAUCUAUUUACAUGUAUUUGUCGUUGGAGGUCUGUCUUCUGUUUUUUUUUUUUUGACGUAAAAUUCUGUUCUCUUUUUCAUUUAAGUCUAUGUAAAAAAUCUCCUCAGGAAACACUUUGCUAAUAUUGAAAACAGGUACAUUUUUAUUACUAAUGCAUUGCAGCUGUAUUGCMUAACCUCAGGUCAUUGUCCAGUUUGAAGAGAACAUGACUUAUGUGGAGCAAACAGCCCACAGCCAAAAAACAAUUAUUAUAAAAACUGAGGGCUUAUGGCUGCUGAAUAUUAGUUAGAUAAUUUUGAGUUCUUUAUGUUAUUCUCAUAUUCUUUUUCAUUUCACAGUUAUCGCACUUGUUUAAUCAGCUGAAGACAGAAAUCCUUCAAUCUCAAAUCAUGGAGAAGACAUUAAAUCUUAUUCUCAUCCAGGAGCUUUUUACGGCUACAGAGAAGAGUUUUAACUUAAAAA